ensembl:lncRNA
AGAGGAGCUUGCUGAGCACCCUGAGGUCUGGAUGCAGUGCUUCAAGGUGUAGCCCAGUCCCAGGAGUUGUAGAAAAGGCAGGAGUAACUGAAUGCAGUGCUGAGCCAAUACAGCCAGUUGUUAGAGGAGCUUUCCUGCAUCCAGAGCCCUGGUCAGAUCCUGAUCAGUAUUCCUAUGAGAAGCAAAGAAAAAUCAGUUGGAAAGAGAGAGGAGAGGUGCCUGGGUGCUAAUGGGAGAAGAAAUCGGAAGAAAAUGUUAAUGCUACCAAGUCACUAAAACAGACUUACAACCUUUAAAGGUUCCAUUCUGAAAUUUCUGUCCCUGUCGGGUUAGAAGGGCCAUUCACCAACUGUUGAAGGCAGAGAUCCCCGUUUGGGGAGACAGAGAAAGGAAUCCUUGGUAGAUAUUCUACUACUGCUGGGGGAACCAUACCAGGAGCAUGCCAUGCAUUACCUCACCAGCUUGCUGCCUCCCAUGAGGUAGGUGCUAUCGUUCCCAUGUUAUGGAUGGAUAGUUUGGGCUGUCAAACAGUACAGCCUGGGCUACACAGCCAGGAGGUGGCAUGGCUAGUUGGAGCCCUGAUCAGUCUGUCUCUACAGUCUGUUCCAUAAUGCAGAAUUCCUGCAUGUUGUCUCUUAUUCUCAGAAAUCUGGAGUGUCACUCCUGUGCACGUAGGAUUGGCUAAGAACGUGCCUCUGAUGAAACUUUAAAAUGACCCAGACCUUUCUGAAUAUGAGCAUUCAAUUGUGGAGGAGAUCUAUUUAAAAAAUAAAACAAGGCUCCUCUCCUUGCUGUAAGCCUCUACCUCUGCUUGACAAAGGCUGUCAGUCUCCAGAGAAAGCCUGCAGUGUUAGAACGACCCAGGCAUGACACCUAUUCUGCCAUCGUCCACUGCUCUUUCAGGGGGAAGUGACUUCUGAUGAGCUGAGGUCCUGAAACUGAGCAAAGCCGAGGAUUCCUCCAGCCAUGAGAUGACCCCACAGAUGGAAUGACAGCAGGCUCUCCUUCCUCUUUCUCCCACAUCCAGAGGGGGCUCCCAGGAGACCAAGGGUCAGCCUGUACAUUCUCCAAGAUUGUGGCACCUCACCCUGACUUUUCAGCUGGAGGCUCUCAGGACCUGCUCUCUACAGAAAGAAUAAACCCUAACCUAGCUCUAGUGAACUCCUAUGAGCCUUCUUGGAAGGAUCAAGGCUGGGGAAGUUGCUGCUUAAUUCCUCGGUACCUGUGAACUUGCAGGUGGGGAUGGGGAUGGGGAUGAGAAGAGCCAGGAGAACUCUCUGCCUUUAAGUCUGAGAGCUGCAUCCACAGUGUCCCUCUGAGGCCACAGCCUUAGGUAAAUCAAAUAACAGCACUACAGAUCCUGGUAAUACUGGAGGGGGGUGUGGGAGGGGAGGGAGAAGAGAGGAGAGAGGAGAGAGGAGAGAAAUUCCAAAUAAGGAAGGAGGUGGGAAAGGCUGAGCCCAGCGGGCAUGUCAGCAGAAAAUGAGCCCUGUCAAUUUAAUGGCUCACUGCCCCGUCACUCUGGACUUGGUUGUUUAUUUUGUUGGCUGUGGUGACCAAGGAGGCAGUUCUGGGGAUGCGAGAGAGGGGUUCCCCUGGAGAAGAGAAUGGAUGACACAGUCUCGAGAUGAAUCUGAGGGCAGAGGCCCCUCUAGCUGGACCUUCCAAUGCUAUGAAUCUAGCAGGGAAGGUGUUGCCUCCACUGCUGUGACACUAGUGGUCCGAGAGGUGCCUGUGUUGUUUGGAUUUGGUUUUUCUCAUCUUGGUUUACAGCUAGUAAGAUAAGAGAUCAGGGUGGCUUGUAUUGAGGCAAACUGGCUUCUGUUUUCAGCCCUGAGGAGCUGGGGGUUAAAGGCUUUGAAAGGGAGCAAGGGGCUCUUGGGCAGCUUCUCUCCUCGUGGUCACAAUACUUCCACUUUCAUUUGUGAAAGAAAAACCAGGAAGUGAAGUCCCAAGCACGUUAGAAAGCUCAGCCAUGGCCUGACUCCGGACAGCUCAGAGCAGGGCAUACAUGGAGACCUCUGAGACUGUCUGCCUGCCGCAUGGAUACUCUGAAGCCACUCUGUCCCUGGAGAAGCCAGGGGUAAGGAGAGAGGGACAGGGACGAAACUUGUGUGUCAGGAGGAACGUGGUGCCAGGAAACCCCAUUUACUGGAAACGCCAGGGCCCUCGGCCCCUCUCAGG